rnacentral:rRNA from 1 species
GUUAGGAAUAUUGGACAAUGGGCGCAAGCCUGAACCAGCCAUGCCGCGUGAGUGAUGAAGGCCUUCGGGUUGUAAAGCUCUUUAGCCGAUGAUUAUAAUGACUGUAGUCGGAAAAUAAGCCCCGGCUAACUUCGUGCCAGCAGCCGCGGUAAUACGAAGGGGGCGAGCGUUAUUCGGAAUCACUGGGCGUAAAGCGUGCGUAGGCGGCUUUGCAAGUUGGGAGUGAAAGCCCAGGGCUCAACCCUGGAAUUGCUCUCAAAACUGCAAGGCUCGAAUUCGGGAGAGGAUAGCGGAAUUGUCAGUGUAGCAGUGAAAUGCGUAGAUAUUGACAGGAACACCAGUGGCGUAAGCGGCUAUCUGGACCGAUAUUGACGCUGAGGCACGAAAGCGUGGGGAUCAAACAGGAUUAGAAACCCGGGUAGUCC